rnacentral:ncRNA from 1 species
UUCAGGUGCCCGAAUCAUUCGGGAUAAUUGGGAAGUUCGUUCAAACCGACGCUGACCCGCAACCGUGAGAGGGGAUGAACCCGCCAGAGCCACUGUGGACGCCGUCCACGGGAAGGCGCGGGGGAAGAGGAACCUCAAGCCGGGAAACCAGCCUGAAGACA